rnacentral:rRNA from 1 species
UACAGAGGGGGCAAGCGUUAUUCGGAAUUACUGGGCGUAAAGGGCGCGUAGGCGGCCUACUAAGUCGGACGUGAAAUCCCUCGGCUCAACCGGGGAACUGCGUCCGAUACUGGUGGGCUCGAAUCCGGGAGAGGGAUGUGGAAUUCCAGGUGUAGCGGUGAAAUGCGUAGAUAUCUGGAGGAACACCGGUGGCGAAGGCGGCAUCCUGGACCGGUAUUGACGCUGAUGCGCGAAAGCCAGGGGAGCAAACGGG